AGUGAACGCUGGCGGUAGGCCUAACACAUGCAAGUCGAACGGCAGCACAGUAAGAGCUUGCUCUUACGGGUGGCGAGUGGCGGACGGGUGAGGAAUACAUCGGCAUCUACUUUUUCGUGGGGGAUAACGUAGGGAAACUUACGCUACUACCUCAUACGACCUACGGGUGAAAGCAGUGGAUCUUCGGACCUUGCGCGAUUGAAUGAGCCUAUGUCGGAUUAGCUAGUUGGCGGGGUAAAGGCCCACCAAGGCGACGAUCCGUAGCUGGUCUGAGAGGAUGAUCAGCCACACUGGAACUGAGACACGGUCCAGACUCCUACGGGAGGCAGCAGUGGGGAAUAUUGGACAAUGGGCGAAAGCCUGAUCCAGCCAUACCGCGUGGGUGAAGAAGGCCUUCGGGUUGUAAAGCCCUUUUGUUGGGAAAGAAAAGCAGCAGGUUAAUACCCCGCUGUUCUGACGGUACCCAAAGAAUAAGCACCGGCUAACUUCGUG
rnacentral:rRNA from 1 species